AUAAAGUAUUUUGGUUAUAUUGCAUAUAAUAAUUUAUAUAAUAAAAACAUUUAAAAAUUAAGUAUAGGUGAUAGAAAAUUAUUGAAUCAACCCAAGAAAAGUACUGUAAAGGAAUUUAUUUAAUAAAGUCAAAGAAAAAAUAAAAAUUUGUACCUUUUGCAUCAUGGUUUAGCUAGAUAUUUAUUUUUUAUUAAAUUUCUCGAAAUCUAAUGAGUUAUUUCUGUUCAGUGUUUUAGCACAAAAAGAGUAGUUGUGGCAAAAACUUUCUUAGAAAUAGAAAUGGAAAUGAAAUUUUAUUCGUAUUAGAUGAUAGCUAGUUCUUCUUUUAAAGGUAUAUAAGUACCUAAAAUUAAUUUAACUUUUAUGAUUUGUCCAUAAAAAAAUUUUAAUUUUAUCAAAUUUUUGAGGAUAAGCUCGAAAAUUAUAAUUAUAUGUGUAUUUAAUUCUAAUAAAAAUUUAGGCUUGAAAGUAGCCAUAAUUUUGAGUUUGUUAUAAUUUCAUUAGUUAACUAAGAAGAUAAUUAAUUUACUUAAAAUAAGUGAAGAAAACUCUAUAACUAAAUUGAGCUGAAUUAAUGCUAAAAUGAGUAUUUACUAUUUUGUAAAAAAUAAACAAAUUAUAAGUUUAUUUUUUCAUGUUUAUUUUCAGAAAAAAUCAUAAAAAGGAACUCGGCAAAACCAUAUUCUGCCUGUUUAGCAAAAACAUGGCUCCUUGAUAUCUAAUAAUAAGGAGUCGGACCUGCCCAGUGAAUAUUUUAACGGCCGCGGUACUCUGACCGUGCAAAGGUAGCAUAAUCAUUUGCCUUAUAAUUGAAGGCUAGUAUGAAUGGUUUGACAAGAAUAUAGCUGUCUCUUUAUGAUUUAAUAGAAUUUUAUUUUUAGGUGAAGAAGCCUAAAUUUAAUUAAAAGACAAGAAGACCCUAUCGAGCUUAAAAAAACUUAAUGGAAUUAAAGUUAAUUGUGCUAAAAAUCUAUCUAUUAAAUAUUUUAGUUGGGGCGACCGAGGAACAUAAAAAGCUUCCUUUAAAAGAAACUAUUCUCACUUGAAUUGAUCCAAAACAUUUUGAUUAAAGAAAUUAGUUACCGUAGGGAUAACAGCAUUAUCUUUUUUAAGAGCUCAUAUCGAAAAAAAGGUUUGUGACCUCGAUGUUGGACCAGAAUAUCCUAAAGGUGCAGCAGCCUUUAAGGGUUGGUCUGUUCGACCAUUAAAAUUCUACGUGAUCUGAGUUCAGACCGGCGUGAGCAGGUCAGUUUCUAUCUUUAAUUACUUAAAUAAACUUAGUACGAAAGGACCAGUUUAUUAUAAUUCGGUAUUUAUAGCAGAUUAAAUAUAAUUAGUAAUUG
rnacentral:rRNA from 1 species